GGCUAGUGCAGGCCAAUAUCGUGCACUGACGACAACGGGAUCCAUGUGAUCGCCGGGACCAAAGACUCCGCCGCAGGAGCGCUCAACCACUAUCCUUUACCGGACGAAGGUCGCAAGUGUGCCUGCGGCUUGGUUGUUU
rfam:Marine metagenome ctg_1101668251682, whole genome shotgun sequence.